rnacentral:rRNA from 1 species
UGUGUAUAAGUUAUAAAGUCUAGCCUGCCCACUGAUUGAUUUAAAGGGCCGCGGUAAUUUGACCGUGCGAAGGUAGCAUAGUCAGUAGUCUUUUAAUUGAAGGCUUGAAUGAAAGGUUGGACGAGGGAUGAGCUGUCUCCUUUACGUAAUUUGAAUUUAACUUUUGAGUGAAAAGGCUCAAAUUAUUUAGUGGGACGAUAAGACCCUAUAAAACUUUAUAUAAGUUUAAUUUGGCUUACAAUUUGAGUGAAAAGUAGCUUUAUUAGGUUUAUAUUUCGUUGGGGAGAUGUAGAUAUAAUGUGUAACUGUCUGUUUAAUUUAAUAAUUAUAAUUAGUGUGUGAUCCUUCUUUGUGGAUUAAAAGUAUAAGUUACUUUAGGGAUAACAGCGUGAUUUUCUUUGAGAGUUCUUAUCGACAAGAGUAGUUGCGACCUCGAUGUUGAAUUAAAAUUUCAGUUAGGUGUAGCCGUCUAGCUGGUAGGUCUGUUCGACCUUUAAAAUUUUACAUGAUUUGAGUUCAAACCGGU